GGUAGGCGAAGGCGCAGCGAAAGCGAGUCUGAACAGGGCGUUUCAGUUCGUGGCUCUAGACCCGAAACCAGGUGAUCUAGCCAUGCGCAGGAUGAAGGUGCGGUAACACGCACUGGAGGUCCGAACCAGUGCCCGUUGAAAAGGUCUUGGAUGACGUGUGGUUAGGGGUGAAAGGCCAAUCAAACCCGGAGAUAGCUGGUUCUCC
rnacentral:rRNA from 1 species